UCUCCUUCACUUUCAUAAGCGGCAAAAGGGUUUUCUCAAUUCCCCUUCAUUCGAUUUUGAAACCGCUGCUCUUCAUAUGGAAACCACAAUCAAUCACCAAUCACUUGAAAAUCUUCUACUUUCUCACACGCUUCCCCCUUCCACAAUACGAUUCACAACCCUAAUUCAUCAAUCAUCGCUUUUUCCUCCCUAGGUUUUUUCCUCUACCAGUUUGUUCUUCAUUAAUCGUCGCUAUUUUCCUCCCAGCAGUUCCUCCAUAACAAAGAAAGUUACUCGAUUCCGUCUCGAUUUGUUAUCCUAUUCUGAUGUUUGGCAUCCAGGGUGGAAUCAACAAAAAGAUCAUCACUGAUACAGAUCUGACAGCGAAUUUGAAGAAGCGGGCUGACAAUUUUGAAACUUUUUUACUCUUUGAAGAAUCCGAGGUUAGUUAUAUGUUUGUUGUUGUUCUUCAAGAUUUUCUGAAAUUCUUGCUGAGAUGCUCUAACCACUGCUUGCUAGCGUUAAAAAGGAUAAUACGGUAUGAGGUUUAUGAAAAUGUUUAUUAAUCAAGUUAAGUUUGUGUUUUGUUGCCCAUUAAGUUUUUUGAAAACGGUUCUACAAAUCAUAUUUUUUAAGUUGCUCUGUUAUGCACAUGGAAAGGUUUGGUGUAUUUUCUGCAGGUUAUUCAGGUAUGGACCACCCUGCAGUUUUUUGCUGCUCAAUUGCAAAUUCAGGGUCUGAGAUUAUAUUAGCCAUUCUUGGUCUUUUCUUCACGCAAUCACAACAAGGGGUACGAUUUGAUAUGUACGAAUUGUUUGUUACUUUUGGUUCAAGUCCGUCUGAUUCACAAUCCAGUGGUCCGCGACGGUUGCUGCUACUUGAUUUGUUCCGUUCGAUUGUUAUCUAGUAUGAAUCAUUGGUCUCCAGUCAACUCCGUGUGGCAAUUAAGUGAAGCAAAUGGAACUCUUGGAGAUAUAAAUGAUAUUAUUUAUGGUGGUGAUUUUGUCCUGCUGUGGACGCUGUGGAUAUCUGAUUCAACUCAGGCUUGUGGCAACAACUAGCUGUUCGAGCAAAAUAUGUUUUUUUGUAUAAUCUUUACAAGCUAAAUGAGUCAGUUAAACUGUUCAUUUAGAGGUUCCAUUUCAUGAACUAAGAUUGGUAGCAUGCUUUGUUGGUCCAUUAUGUUGUUAAGAAACUAGAAAGAGAUGGUCAUCACACUUGAUUUGUUAAAAGUUCUAUAGCCUUUAUCACACCUGAUUAGUUAAUAUAUGGUAAAAGAAGGUGGCACAAUGGUUACAAUAUGAGUUGGGUAAAAGAAGACCAAAAGAAAUUCAAGCAAAAGAAAUUAAGAUGCAGUCCAAGACGGGUCAGAGUUUUGCGAGCAGGCUAAUGGAAGUCAGGAAUAAAAGUGCACAUUUGUGGGCUGGUUAUUAUAUUGUGAGUGUGUGCGGGGUUAAUUGAGUGGCCUGGUCCAAGUUCGCCGGCCCAACAUUGGAUCGAGACUAAUGAAUGCCUAUGAAGUUGUGUAUUGCUAAUUUGGAUUGGCCUGGCCUAAAAGACCUUAACGAUGAAGCACAUAAAAAGGUAUCCUAAUUUAUUUUAUCCAUUUGGACUAGGCGAAUAAGGGAUGGGAUUGGGUACACAAGUAUAUUAUAAAUAAUAUUGGGUAUGUUGGGCUCGAUGUGCACUAUCAGGUUCAUGUUAUGGGGCUGGGUUCGAAUAAAAAAGGCUGUUGAACAAACAAAUGGUAUUAAUAGAGGGAAAGAUAAUUAUGGGUGGCCCAAAUGGAGGAACCGAUUAUCGAUGAAAUGCCAAGCUCACUUAUGGAACAAAAAGAAUCUAAAUUAUCAAAUUGGAUCUAGCAAAGCCAUUUUUAUAAUGGAAGGCAUGAUGAGUUCUCUACAAGGUCCAGUUGAGGUAAGUGUAGGUAAUGAGUCUUAAACAAAGGCUAAAGCUAAUACAUUCAGGUAUUAUUUUUUUUUUGUGUAGAAGCUCUAUAUAAACAAUCUCCAAUUAUCAGAGUCAUUCUUUUGGUGUA